rnacentral:lncRNA from 1 species
CCCGGCUUCAAUUGAGAACUUGCUCCUUUAUGAGCUGCCGGUCUGUUACAUAUAUACAGUCCGAUUAUAAUUUCACUAGUCGACUUCAUAGGCCAUUUUGGUAAUUCAUUCUGUUCUGCAAUUUAUUUUGGGUUAUUGUAGAGUCUGGAAAUGUUUGGGAGAAAUUAGGAGCGGUAUUACAUGGAUUCUUGAUUUGAAUAUUCUGGCUCAAGAUUUUUCUGCCAUUUCUUACGAAAAAUAAAUCAUGACCCAGUCUUGUAUUAGAGGGGUGGUCUGUAGAUCGUCAUGAUCUCGUGCAAUUCAUUUUCUCUUCAAUCAUUCUCAUCGGUCGUUUCUUUCAUUGAUUCUGCAGAAUACAGAUAUAUUCUCGACUCUGCAGCUGAUGUGCCAAAAGCUCCACUUAUUUAAGUUUGACAGCAGGGUUAUCUCUCUUAAAAGUUGGAGUCGUCUUUAAAGGAGUGGAAUCUGGGACUUUUGAGUCAAUAAAUGCUACUUUUUGAAAGUGAGUUCAAUUUUGUUUCCUUAACAUGGACAAAACUGUGACAUCUCACUAAUAUUUCUUGUUAUCUCUUUCCAGGUCAAAAGUAUGGUCGACAAUGGCAUGUUAUAGGUCCGCUUCUGUCUUUUUGUUAGGGAUGGGAAUUUCUAUCACAAUAUGUUAGGUAUAUAGCAUGAGAAUUAUCAAACUUGAUUAUAAACCUAAUAUGUAUAUAUUACUAUAAAAAAAAUUGGCAAACACAACCAUGAUCAACG